GCAUGAGGCAGUGAGAUUCAUGGACACAUAAUAGAUUUAGGAAUGGAAGAAAGAAAGCAUUUAUGCCUUGCUUGGAAAUGAACAUAAGCUUGCCCCGGAAAAAAUAGCGGCAAAACAAGCCUUACAUUGGGCCUCCCGAAAUGUAGUGGAAAACACAUGAUGCGCUUCUCUUCCCUCUUUUUACAGAUUGGUAAAUGCAUCUAAAGACUGGAUCAUAAGCCCUGAGGCACACGGUCGGAUAACAUGAACAGAACACGGGUUGUAUAAAUGUUUAACAUGCUAACCUUCAAACUGUAACUUUAACUUACAAUUACUAAAUGAAAAACAAGAAGCUAGUGCGUCGUUUUUUUUCCUUGUUUUUUUUUUAAUCUAACUUUGAACUCGAAAGCAUUAAAGCCCAAGAAGGCUGAAACAUACUUUUCUUUGGCCUUUACCUAUUCUAAGAUACAUGUUAGGCAGUAAGCAGCAGCCAUAAUAUCACUCCCCAAAGGAACAUCUGUUGCAUCAGACACUCGAUGCUCGUGAAUGAUUCUUUGAAUGAUCACUGUCUUCAUCUCCAUGCUCGGUUUCCGAGCUGCUCACUUCAUUCAGUUUCAGUCUGGCAUCUGUAAUUUCAUCUUGCACGUUAGUUGCCUGGUUCUCUGUCAUGUUUUCCUGCAAAACCUGCAAUAGCUCAGUCAUCCUGCCAGUUCUAUAAUUUUCCAAAGGUCUUGACACGACUGCAGGGUGAUUAUGCAGAACAGGCUGUACAGAUUGAAGGGGCUCAAUGUAAAGCGGCUGACCUGUGCCAUCAACAUCAUCCUCUGCAGCACGCCUAGAAUCUUUAGCAGACAAAUUAACAGCCGAGCCAUUAUCAGUCUUUGUUGACAGUGAAGGGACUUGUGUUCUCUUGAUAACUUCCGUUAACAACUUCUCAAAAGGCAUACCAGGCAAUUUCAUUGAUUUGGCUUCAGCCUCUUGCUGGGCAUCCAAUAAAUUUUGAUUAACACCAGCUUCCUUCUGUAAACCUGAAGGCAUUAACUGGUGGUUAUUUUGAGAUUGAAAGUGAAGCAACUGGGCUUCAACUGCCCCCACUUGGUUUGUGGAUGUUGAUCCAUUUGAUGGAUGAGCAGCAUCUAGCACCUUUUUGCCCUUAAAAGCCACUGCAUCAGCAGGUUGGGUUGCAACUGAAGACAAUUCGCCAGAAGUCCCAUUUGAUAAAUCAACAGGAUGGAGUACAACAGGCACCACAUUGCCUCUUGAGUUCCCAGGAGAAGAAGCAUGACUUGCCAUUGAAGGCACUUGUUUGCCUUUGGAGGCUACCGGAUUAGCAGCUUGAGCUGUAUGAAAAGUACCAUUUCUCUCCCUAGACCGGGGAUUAUGGCUAGGGACCUGAGCAUAAUUUUCUCUUGGGAUGGGAAUCUCAUUUCUUCUGAUCAUUUGGAUGCCUGGGGCAACAUCAUUGUCUGUGGAAACAGGAACACAUCGUCCAGGCUUAAAAACAACACCCCUCAAAGUGGUUUCUGAGUUGCCAACCCUAACAGUGAGUAAAUAUCCAGCAUCAAAUGCUGCCUCGAUGACACCAUGAACUACUUGACCCACCAUGAUAUCACUUGCAUCAUUAACUGGAUCUACUUGGCGGGGUUGAUUUCCAUUGACCGUUACAAAUCCAGGCGGAACAUAAGAGCUUCCCCCAUGAUUUGGAUUCUGGCCCCUUGCAGCACGAACAUCCACCCCAUGACCAAGAUCUAGCCUUGGAUACUUACGUGGACGACCACGCUUGCGCUUCACGGGAACAAGUGCUGAUUCAUCAGGAUGAUUCCCUUGAUUUGCUUCACUCAUGUUCAGUAUAAGUCAAAUAAACUUUCCUUGCUUUCCACACAACCUAUUGAUAUGGUUUUCCCUCCCUGCAGUGAAAAAAGAUGUCAAUUUUGAGUUCACAGAAGUAGAUUGUACUGUUACCAACCAUGAAAAUCCAAUUUACAUAUCAUAGGUUUAGAUGCUCAUGCUUUCGAUAAUCAACUUUAGAAAAAAUGAUAGUCAACCCACCAGACUACAGAAACAGAAUACAGAGUCAUGGCAUAUGCAAAACACUACAUGUUAUAUACCGCCAAACUUCAACCUAACAUCACAGAUCACAAUCAGUGUUCAGACAUUCUAAGAAUUUUUAAAGUAUUCUACAGCAAAUUGCAAAUUUCCUGAAUCAAGAAAAUCCUAACACUUACCCUUGAUGUCAAAUGUGAAUGCAUACACCAAAAUCAAUUUGUGAAAACAAUGGUACAAGAAAAUAUUAGAAUGCAGUAACUGAUGCCUAUGAGAAGCCUUGAGAAAAUCACCCUCAUGAGAAGAGGGAAAAAUCCUUGGGAACAUGUCUUUAAAAACAUAGGCUGAAGUGAGAAUACAACAGAACCCCUGAAGUCCUACACAAACCCAUUGUCCAAACUCCCAAAAUAUUUAAGCUGGCUUCCAAGAAUUUAGUUCAUAGAAUCCCCACCAUUAUCCCCACAUCAUUCCAUAGUACCCACUUAUAUUAAUCCCUAUUAUUAGUGUAUAGAGAAGCUAGCCUAGCAUUGAAACUCCUUAAGAAAUCUAAUUUUCCUGGAACUAUAAAGCUGGAAUGGCAUCAAAUCCUUGUUCAUUAUCAAUACACAAUGAAAUUUUGUAUUACAUAAAAUUUUCUAUGUCUGCAAUUCCCCAACUACAUGUAGCAUUGGUUUUAAAGAAACUCAGGUGAUUCUAUCUAAAAGUAAUAUGCUGAUGCUUUUAGGGGUCAAAUUUAGUAAACCAGAACUCAUGUUAUGAUGCUUUCAUGAAAGUCAGUUAGAAAAACUUCACUGGACUCUAAAACUUCUGAAUUUUUUCCUGAACGUGAAAAUAGGACUUUUCUAUCCAGCAAAGUCUCCAGUUAGCAUUCUUAAGCUAAUUACAUGGAAUUAAGAAAGUCACAAACUCAUAGCUAAGUUAAACAAAUAUGCACAUAGGGGUGAGCAGAUUUCAGUUUUAACAAAAAAUAGAAACAAACCUAUCUAAUUUGGAUUUUUGGUUUAGUUGGUUCGAUUUCUAUUAUUAUUUUAAAAAAUUUGGGUUUUCAGUUUGGUUCAAUUAAUUCUGUCAAAAAAUAGAACAAACUGAAUCGAAUCGAGAUUCAUAUAAAUACUGCUUUGUUAUAUAUUUACAUAACCCACACAUACCAGAGGCCGGCUCAACCAUACCAAUGCCAAACUCUAAUCUAUCUUUCUUCCCUUCUCUCAUCCUCUCUACAUUUUCUUUGUCUUUCCUUCAUCUAAUUUGUAUAUUUGAAUUUGUUAUAAGAUGGUAAAUUUGUUCUUUAUUUUGUUAUGGGAUUGAUUAAGUUGUUUCAAUGAUUGAAUGGCUGCUGAGAUUGAUUUUAUUCUUGGCUAGGAUUGGUACUAGGUAUCGGCAAGGAGAAGGGUGACACUGAAAACAGUAUCGUUUGAGUGAAAAGGCAGUGUUUGGCAUUUUGCAUAAAACUAACAAACUAAACUGGUUCGAUUCGGUUCCUCUAUCAUUCUGGUUUGGUUCAGUUUCCAUUUUAAAUGAUUUGGUACUUCAAUUUUUGCGGUUUGAUUUAGUACAGAACCAAACCAAACGAUUAAACACUCCUACAUGCACACACACACACACAAAAAAAUGUGCAAGUAAGGAAAGCGAGGCAAAGCCAUAAACUGUAAUCUGCACCAAUGUUUAGAUCUCAUUUUACUGUACCUGGUUAAGCAAAAUACAAAAAACAAAUAAAUAAAUUACAAUCUGGCAUUUGAACUCAAUCAAGUAUCCAAGUACUGGGCUUGUGGAUGAUAAAUAGCAGGGAAUAGUUGUUGCAUUUACAAAACACCAUGCGACUUUUCAACUACAAUUCAAUGUAUAGAAAGCAUAGUACGUCUCUUCACAUUAGCAAGUUCCCCCUUUUGUCGCUGCCAUAUGAAGAAUGUGCUUAAGAUAGCCAUAACACAAUCACCAAGCAAAGAUUUUUUUUAUAUAUAUAUCUUUAUUUUUCUUUCUUCCAGCAUUAAAAUAAGGAGGCACCAGCAUUUGAAGACAGCUACAGCACCAAGUGAGUGGCAAGGCUAAAAUUCUAUAUAGAAGAGAUUAAUUUCCUACAAAUAGAAUUCCAACAAUAAUAAGGGAGCGCUUGAAAUAGCAAAUUAUCAAAACACAGUCUCAAGAUUAGAACUUUGUUUCCAUUGGGAACGUCGUGCGCUAUGAAAAUGGGCAAUAAAUACAAAAAACUAUCGCAAGUUAAGUGAGCAUCAAUUACACAACAAUAGUGCAAGUACACAAACAAAUAAAACCCAAUUACAAAUACUGAGAGAGCAAACACACUAGACCUUCUAUAGUCUUGCAAUAUAAAAAAACACCGGAAACAACAUAUUCAUACACCCAGUUGGAAAGUUAAACUACACCAAAAAAUAAAUAAAACAAAGAACCUCAGAAUUUCACAUAUUUAGUCUCAAAGAGCACUAAGCAUAUGCUUGGCUGCUAAUAAAAUACCAUGGAUUAUCAACAUCAUGCUAGCUUUAGUUUAUAAAAGAGAAGCAACAGCAGAGAAAAGGGUGUUUCAAAAAGCAAGAAGCCUAGGGAUUGUGAAGAAGGAGCGUACCUGCAGAAGCAAUGUUCAGUGGGGAAGAGAGACCAAAGAAAUAAAUAAAUAUUUAAAUUUAAAUACAAAUUGAGGUCAGAAACCCUGGAAAUUUUUUCAUUUUUGUUUCCGAGAGAUGCCAAAAACAAAAAAUUUAAUCCCAAUCUCUGUUUUUUUUUCCCCUACCCGGAGAGGUCGAGGUCCACUGCGGGCCCCUUUCCGCGCUAUAUUGACUUGACUAUGACAUAGAUUUUGUGACAGAGCAAUUGCAAACUGACUUGUAAUAUGGCUUCGCAC
rnacentral:misc_RNA from 1 species